rnacentral:rRNA from 1 species
UACGUAGGGUGCAAGCGUUGUCCGGAAUUAUUGGGCGUAAAGCGCUCGUAGGCGGUUCGUCGCGUCGGCUGUGAAAUCCCGAGGCUCAACCUCGGGUCUGCAGUCGAUACGGGCGGACUGGAGUUCGGCAGGGGAGACUGGAAUUCCUGGUGUAGCGGUGAAAUGCGCAGAUAUCAGGAGGAACACCGGUGGCGAAGGCGGGUCUCUGGGCCGAUACUGACGCUGAGGAGCGAAAGCGUGGGGAGCGAACAGG